AUCAUUUAUACUGGUAAUUGGUAAAUAAUUUAUGUUACUUUGAACUAUUUUUUUUUUGUUCUGUCACUUUCGCUUUGAAUUGAACUCUACGAAUUAAUAAAUGAAAAUAUUUGUCUUUAUCAUUGGAUCCUUUUCCAACUUAUUAGUAGACAACCAUUAACGAAAAUUUAGCUUUUAAUCAGCAAAUGCUUCUUAUUACCAUAUCGAAAUUACAAUAUCGAAACUCGUUUUUAAGAAAACAUAGGCAUAAAAAACUACAAAUCAACCCGUCGAUUGUCAUAUCGACCAAAACAUUGAUUCAGUAGUUCAUAAACGAAGAAACAAAUUGAACGCAAAGCCAUAACAAAUUUCCACGUCAACGUCUUUUUGUCGACAAUAAAUCGGCAAAAGUUAUGGCAUUCAUCAAUACGAUUCAUUAUAACAGCCAAACCAUGCUAUAAAAACAUCGCAUAAACAACCAAAAGUGUAGAGUUCCACUCUGUGCUACUUAUGACAGAGCGAUGAAUUUGAACGGCUUGUCAACCAGAAAGAAGAAGGGUUUCUACUGAAAAUGUGUUUUGCACGGACCUGGAGCCUUUUAGCGAAAGCAAGUAGUGAAAUUUACCGAUUACCCUGGAGAGUAAAAAUGGCUAUAUUUCUACUCGACAAACCUAAAUAACUAUGGCGUCUUGGAAUGAAGAAAAUCUAUGCUAUGGAUACAAACAUGCAUUUUAUGGAUGAAUCUUAUUCACACCUAUUCUAACUGAGUGCCUUUGAAUGUGUGCUUUUUGAAACUAUGCUAUAGAACCUUGUGAAGGUGUGUGUUUUAUUUUCGUAUGUUUACUUCUGAGUGAUUAUGCUAUGUAUUAUUUACAAAAUAAAAGUGAAAGUGAGUGGUUUUCAA